CACAGGGUGUCGAUGGAAACAAACACGGCAGGCCCAUCAGGCCCUCACAUUUCCCUUAAGUGCCAAGAGGCGGUUCUUUCUCAGUCACCACAAUUGUUCCUGUUUAACAUGGCAGCCUUAAGCCAGACAUAAUUAGACUUUUUCUUGACAAAUCAUUUGUGCCAAGUCUUGACAGGUUGGAAACCGAAACGGUUAUGCUGCAUUCUUUAGGGUCUGAACCAGACAAGAUUUAAAAAAAAAAAGAAAUAAAAUGAAAGCGAGUACAUGGUAAGCUGUAACAGAACCACAUCUCCACAUUCCCUAGCCUGCUGUAGAUUGAAGAAAAUAGGAAUAAGCAUCUUUCGACCACAAACAGAUGUGCUUGAUAAAGAAAAUGUCAGCAAAAAUACUAAAGCAAUGUGUCACAGCAGCUUUCUGACAGAUAGAGGGAAAAGUACAAAAGGCUCUGAAGGAAGUGGCCACAGUACCAACAAGUUUCCAUAGGAGAGAGUUCAGUAGAAGUCUGGAGAAUCAAAAUGGAGAGGAACUAGACUGUGCCUGGAAUGGAUGUUCAACAUAUGUGUACAUUGAUGGCAGCAACAUUGAAAACAGGAGAAGAGUGAGAAAUGUGAAGAAAGGCUAUAUCAAAAGUUAAAUUCAUUUUCAAAAAGGAAUAACUGGAAUCCACAUAUUUCCACUAAACUAGGAACAUCCUUUUCCCCAAUGUGUUAUUUAAGGUACAGAUUUCACUGAUCUAGGCCCUGCCUUCAAUCAGUCAUUCUUUGGUUCUGAGUCAUACUAAUUUGUUCCUUAUUUCCUAAACCAAC
rnacentral:lncRNA from 1 species